rnacentral:rRNA from 1 species
AAGUCGUAACAAGGUUUCCGUAGGUGAACCUGCGGAAGGAUCAUUAUUGAUUGCGAAUCGUUGCCUUCAGUGCUGGCCGGCUUCGGCAAGUGCACGUCGGUGACUUUCAUCCAAUACCCUGUGAACCUUUGGCCUCUUGCUAGCUUCGGCCGGCAGAGGAUUUUACACAAACUCAAAUGUAAUGAAAUUUAUUGUCGUGCGCAAGCACUAAUGUACAACUUUCAACAACGGAUCUCUUGGCUCUCGCAUCGAUGAAGAACGCAGCGAAAUGCGAUAAGUAAUGUGAAUUGCAGAAUUCAGUGAAUCAUCGAAUCUUUGAACGCACCUUGCACCCUUUGGCAUUCCGAAGGGUAUGCUCGUUUGAGUGUCAUUGUACUCUCACACUCUCAAUCUUUUGGAUUGGGAGUGGUGGACUUGGGUGUUGCUGCUUUACUGUGGCUCGCCUCAAAUGGAGUAGUGCAACUCUUGGUUGGACAUAGUACGGCGUGAUAAGUGUCUUCGCCGGCACCUCACUUAGAGGGUGGCUGAUCGGGAGCUCUGUGCUUCAAACCGUCUUCGGACAACAUCUGACAACUUGACCUCAAAUCGAGUAGGACUACCCGCUGAACUUAAGCAUAUCAAUAAGCGGAGGA